CCGCCACUAGCUCAUCCGGGCAGAGCAGCAGCUUUUUAAGCUGUCGGUACGAGGUUCGACUCCCCGGUGGCGGACUA
rnacentral:tRNA from 1 species